rnacentral:lncRNA from 1 species
UGGGGGGUGCGGGGUGGAGAGCCUGAAGAUGGGGUUGUUUGGGGGGUGGAGAGCCUGGAGUGGGGGUACGUUGGGUCGUGGAGACCUCAAAGUUGGGGUAC